rnacentral:rRNA from 1 species
GACGAACGCUGGCGGCGUGCCUAAUACAUGCAAGUCGAGCGGACCUCUUCGGAGGUCAGCGGCGGACGGGUGAGUAACACGUGGGCAACCUGCCUGUAAGACUGGGAUAACUCCGGGAAACCGGAGCUAAUACCGGAUACUAUGUCAAACCGCAUGGUUUGACAUUCAAAGACGGUUUCGGCUGUCACUUACAGAUGGGCCCGCGGCGCAUUAGCUAGUUGGUGAGGUAAUGGCUCACCAAGGCGACGAUGCGUAGCCGACCUGAGAGGGUGAUCGGCCACACUGGGACUGAGACACGGCCCAGACUCCUACGGGAGGCAGCAGUAGGGAAUCUUCCGCAAUGGACGAAAGUCUGACGGAGCAACGCCGCGUGAGUGAUGAAGGUUUUCGGAUCGUAAAACUCUGUUGUCAGGGAAGAACAAGUGCCGGAGUAACUGCCGGCGCCUUGACGGUACCUGACCAGAAAGCCACGGCUAACUACGUG